rnacentral:piRNA from 1 species
UCCUGACUUUGUUGGAGGCCAUUUCAGC